UACGUAGGGUGCAAGCGUUAAUCGGAAUUACUGGGCGUAAAGCGUGCGCAGGCGGUUGUGCAAGACAGAUGUGAAAUCCCCGGGCUCAACCUGGGAACUGCAUUUGUGACUGCACGGCUGGAGUGCGGCAGAGGGGGAUGGAAUUCCGCGUGUAGCAGUGAAAUGCGUAGAGAUCGGGAGGAACACCAGAGGCGAAGGCGGCGACCUGGACAGUUACUGACACUCAACUACGAAAGCGUGGGGAGCAAACAGG
rnacentral:rRNA from 1 species